UGGGGAAUAUUGCACAAUGGACGAAAGUCUGAUGCAGCCAUGCCGCGUGAGUGAUGAAGGCCUUCGGGUUGUAAAGCUCUUUUGGCGGGGACGAUAAUGACGGUACCCGCAGAAUAAGCCCCGGCUAACUUCGUGCCAGCAGCCGCGGUAAUACGAAGGGGGCAAGCAUUGUUCGGAAUUACUGGGCGUAAAGGGUGCGUAGGCGGAUCGAUCAGUCAGAUGUGAAAGCCCAAGGCUUAACCUUGGAAUUGCAUUUGAUACUGUCAGUCUAGAAUUGUGGAGAGGAGUAUGGAAUUCUCAGUGUAGAGGUGAAAUUCGUAGAUAUUGAGAGGAACACCAGUGGCGUAGGCGAUACUCUGGCCAACAAUUGACGCUGAGGCACGAAAGUGUGGGGAGCAAACAGG
rnacentral:rRNA from 1 species